rnacentral:misc_RNA from 1 species
AAAGUCGUAACAAGGUUUCCGUAGGUGAACCUGCGGAAGGAUCAUUACAGUGUUCCCUGCCCUCACGGGUAGAAACGCCCACCCUUGUGAAUAUAUCUUGUUGCUUUGGCAGGCCGCCCCCGGGCACCGGCUUCGGCUGGCUCGCGCCUGUCAGAGGACCCCAAACUCUGAAUGUUAGUGUCGUCUGAGUACUAUAUAAUAGUUAAAACUUUUAACAACGGAUCUCUUGGUUCUG